ensembl:lncRNA
GUUGUAGGGCAGGGGUGCGGGUGAGAAGAGCAGAGAGGAGCCAGGACUCAGCAAUAGGAUUUGAGAUUUAAAGAAAAACAAGAGCCGAGUCUCCUCGCGCCCUCUGGUGUACCAACGAAGUAUAACCAGAAAAAAAAAUCCACAAAGAUCGCGGCCAUUUCAUGUAACAAGAGAUGCCCAGAGAGAGGAGAAUGUCUGGAAUCUGGGAGGAAUCACUCACCACCAGAAUUGGGCACGGAUUUGAAAAACAAAACAGAACAAAACAAAAACCAACAGUGCCCGUGAUGCAGCAGCAUUAUUUGUAAUAGCCAGAACCUGGAAGCAACCUAGAUGCCCCUCAACUGAAGAAUGGAUGGAGAAAAUGUGUACAUUUACACAAUUGAGUAUUACUCAGUGGAAAAAAAUAAACUAAAAAAACAGUGAGAUCUUGAAAUUUGAAGGCAAAUGGAUGGAACUGGAAGAAACCAUCCUGAGUGAGGUAACCCAGUCACAGAAAGACAAACAUGAGCUUUCAUCCAGUAGCUGAUGGAAGCAGAAGCAGACACCCACAGCUAAGCACUGAGCCAUACUCCUGGAAUCCAGCUCUAGAGAGGGAGUCGGGAUGAGCAAAGCAGUCAAGACUAUGCUGGAGAAACCCACAGAAAUGCUGUCUUGACCUAGUGAGACCACACGGACCCCAGUUGUAAAGCUGGGGAACCAGCGUUGGAACAAACCAAGCCCUCUGAAUUUGGGUGCCAAUUAGGAGGCCUGGGACGUCUAUGGAACCUCUAUUUGUUUUUUUGUUUUUUUGGGGGGGGGUCGAGACAGUGUUUCUCUGUGUAGCUUUGGAGCCUAUCCUGGCACUCACUCUGUAGACCAGGCUGGCCUCGAACUCGCAGAGAUCCGCCUGCCUCUGCCUCCUGAGUGGUGUGCGACACCAAUAUCCGACCUCUAACAGUGGAACCAGUAUUCAUCCCUAGUGCACAUUCUCUAUGGUGGGAUACUCUCUCAGCCCAGAAACACGGAGGAGGGCCUAGGCCCUCCCCCCAAAUGAUGUGACAGACUUGAUGAUUCCCCAUGGAAGGCCUCACUAUCCUUGGGCAGUGGGUUGUGGGGGUUAGUGGAGGGCAUGGGAAGAUGGGAGGGAGAGGGAACAGGGGAGACUGGUAUGUAAAAUAAG